UUAAUGCAAGAGAACAGUGUGCUAAUGCUUUUCAAAGAUAAAUUCAGUUUCCGCGUACAUUCGAGAUUCCAAGGUGAAUGUCCCUUUUCCUUUACAAACUUGUGAAGCUUUCAAACAAUCAAUUUUUCUUACAUUGUAUAUUUGGAAGAAUUAGAACAAGGGAGCAAAAGAUUCUCAUGCUGAUAGUUCCCAUUCUCCAUAAUUGAUUGUAGCGCGUGUUUUAAAGCAUAUCUAGCAUUAAUGAAUGAAGUAGAAAUUUCAGGAAGCCAAGAAACUUUGUGAGCACUGAUUGCCUCUAGAUUGUACAUUCAAUUGAUCUCGUCUUGGUUGAAGUAGAUGAUAGUAAAUAGUAUCUGAGUUUCAUUUCAGAUUCCAAAAACAAUCCUCCAUGUGAAUGGUUAAGUAGAGAUUCACGUUGUUUUCUUUUUCUUUAGAGGAAUGGCUGACUCCUUUGAUCAUGAAAUUAUAUCACGGCUAUCACAAAAACUCAAGUAAUUCUAUUCAUAUAAUCAAAAUAGAGUUGAGUUCGAGCUCCUUCAUUUUAACUAAUUUAUUAUGAUGCAUAACCACAAAUGAUGAGAUGAUGUUGGAUAUGAUAAUGGGAAUUAGUUGUCAACGAGAAAAUUAAUUUCGCAAGAAUACAGUUAGUCGCAGAACUCUCCUAGUCCUUGGAAGUAAUUUAAAGGACAGGUGCAUCAAUUUGUUUGUGUAGCUUACUGUAUGGUUAGAGAGUGUUGUGUUUUCAAAAGAAUUCAAAUGCGUUACAAAACGGUGCCAUCAAACAAGUUUUUCAUUUUUUUCUUUUUAAAAAAACAAAAGACACCAUGAUUAUAUAGUUUCUCAUUUCUUCUUAUUUUUGGCUGUAAUGCAACAAUAAAUAUUGAUUAAGCAAAUUAGUUUUCAGGAAUACUUGAAGGAUACAUUACACAAGAUAUAAAGAGGAGAUUAAACAAUCCUCCAUGCUGGCUUAGUAAUGACUGUGGUGCAAUUUUGCAAAAGAUUAUAUGCCCGAUAAAAAGAGAGCAUCUGUGGUCAAGUGUGCGCCACACAUAUUAUCGAGUGCGAUAGCGCGUGGGAUGAGCUUUCUUAAGAGGGCGCUGGGCAC
rnacentral:lncRNA from 1 species